rnacentral:rRNA from 1 species
AUUGAACGCUGGCGGCAGGCCUAACACAUGCAAGUCGAAUGGUAACAGGAAACAGCUUGCUGUUUCGCUGACGAGUGGCGGACGGGUGAGUAAUGUCUGGGAAACUGCCUGAUGGAGGGGGAUAACUACUGGAAACGGUAGCUAAUACCGCAUAACGUCGCAAGACCAAAGAGGGGGACCUUCGGGCCUCUUGCCAUCAGAUGUGCCCGGAUGGGAUUAGCUAGUAGGUGGGGUAACGGCUCACCUAGGCAACGAUCCCUAGCUGGUCUGAGAGGAGGACCAGCGACACUGGAACUGAGACAAGAUCAAGACUGCUACGGGAGGCAGCAGUGGGGAAUAUUGCACAAUGGGCGGAAGCGUGAUGCAGCCAUGCCGCGUGUAUGAAGAAGGCCUUCGGGUUGUAAAGUACUUCCAGCAGGGAGGAAGGGAGUAAAGUUAAACCAUUAGAUAAUUGACGUUGCCCGCAGAAGAAGCACCGGCUAACUCCGUG